UACGUAGGGUGCAAGCGUUAAUCGGAAUUACUGGGCGUAAAGCGUGCGCAGGCGGCUUUGCAAGACAGAUGUGAAAUCCCCGGGCUUAACCUGGGAACUGCAUUUGUGACUGCAUGGCUGGAGUGCGGCAGAGGGGGAUGGAAUUGCCGGUGUAGUGGUGAAAUGCGUAGAGAUCGGCAGGAACACCCAGGGGGAAACCAGUCGACUGGGCAGCACCUGACGCUGAGGUGCGAGAGCGUGGGGAGCGAACCGG
rnacentral:rRNA from 1 species